rnacentral:rRNA from 1 species
UACGUAGGUGGCGAGCGUUGUCCGGAAUUAUUGGGCGUAAAGCGCGCGCAGGCGGUCCUUUAAGUCUGAUGUGAAAGCCCACGGCUCAACCGUGGAGGGUCAUUGGAAACUGGGGGGACUUGAGUACAGAAGAGGAAAAGCGGAAUUCCACGUGUAGCGGUGAAAAUGCGUAGAGAUCGUGAGGAAGACCAGUGGCGAAGGCGGGUCUCUGGACAGUUCCUGACACUGAGGCACGAAGGCCAGGGGAGCAAAACGGGG